rfam:Salmo salar isolate Sally breed double haploid chromosome ssa24, whole genome shotgun sequence.
UGGCUCAGUUGGUAGAGCGUGGUGUUUGCAACGCCAGGGUUGUGGGUUCGAUUCCCAU